rnacentral:lncRNA from 1 species
AAAAAAAAAAAGAAGAUAACUUUAUAAAAUAGGUCACUAACUGGAAAAUAUCAGUGAAAUUGCAAGAUCUUAUUUUUCUUCAAAUGAACGUGACUAUAAGGAGGUAAAGUGCUGCACUGCUGGAUUGCUGUUUCCUGACUGCACUUCCAAAGGCAGUAAUUCAAACAAAGGCUUCCAAGACAGCUAUAUUGAAGCAAAAAAUAAAGGAAUAGAGAAUACUUUCAUCAGCUCGACUGGUCAUGAAUGAGACAUUGCUGAAACUGAAUUUUACAAGAAAAGUUCAAGAAAUAAAGUCAAGACGGCUUUCUAUGUAGAGGAAUUGUCACAACACAUGUCAUGAAGGUGUGCAGUGAGGAAGGAACCGUAAGGACUCUGUUGGAAGGUGCAGAGGAUGAGGUCAGAGCAUCUCAGGUGGAAAGUUUUUUUUGUGUGUGUGGAAGACCAACUCAGAGCAGUCCUGUGACAAAUCAUACACUGCUUUCUCCAUCCUCACAGUUCUGUAAGGAAGGCGGAAAACCAGGCCAGGAGAAAGAAAAGAAAGAAAAUGAUCUCUUAUUGAAUAGUUCCAAUAAACCAAGCACUGGACUAGAUGUUUUUUAAGUAAAUGUUCCAUUUAAUUUUCCAAAGAACGUUAUAAAUUUGGUAAGAUUCUUCCUGUUUAAAAAAUUAAGAAAGAGGAUCAAAGAAGAGAAGUUUCUGCCAACGAGGCAUAGUAGUGGCUCAGAAAAAAAUAACUUUGAAAUAUUUUGCUUUUCACAUUUCUAAAUCUGGCUUUUUAGAAUUUCUAGGCCAAGAUGUAUUGUAUUGAAACUAGUAAGAAUGACAGCUGUCACCCCACUUAGUGCCUGUCAUCUACCCAUCUACCUACUUACCUUCUACCUAUGUCUUCUUUACUCAUUGUCAUACUCUGUGCUAUAAGUGUAGAGUGAACCCACUGGCACUUGUUUACCAUAACAAGUGCCAUUUCUGAAGCUUGGUAUCCAGCAAGAUACUAAUAGAUGUCCUCUAAAAAGUCAGUUCUGUGAUAAAAAAAAAAUAUGUGAGAAGUACUAGAUUAAACAAAUUUAAACUGGUUGCUUUGUUGCAUAACUUCUCAGAGUUUGGGAUAUGUCAAUAUUGCCGUUAUUUAUAGAGUAUGUAACUUUGUCAAAAUGUAUUUUACUACAAGACUUUUUUUUUAUUUUACCCAUUAACAUCUCACAAGCUACUGGUGUUCAACAGACCAUGGGUUAGAAAAUUCUGGCGCCUUUUUUUGGUGAAAGACCAGACACAAUGAGGAAGCACAUAAAAGUUGAGAACAAGUUAACACAAAUAUCAGACUAUCAAGAGGAACCAACAAGCCAAAGAACAGCAUUUUAUUAGGACACUUAUAAAAAUAGCUUUUACAGGCCAGUGACUAGAACCAUGCCCAUUUCCUUGUAGAAACAGAGUGAUAUAUGUUUAAUAAUAAAUGGAUGAAUAUGAGCCAGUUAUUCUGCUAAGGGAAAAUGUGUCACCAUUUCUUUUCCUCAUCCUAUGUGGAUUCAAAGUUACAAAGGUAAAGAAAGGAAGCAGGCAGAAAUAACAAAAUACUUCAAAAUCUUGGUGUCCCUGUUGAAAUCAAGCUCCCUAUGCAAAAAAUUUUAAAAGGUCAUCUAUUCAUUUAUUUAAUAAGUAUUUGGUGAAGGAAUAAAUAAAGAGAAACUCAAGGCAAGAAGAGGGAGACUAGGUAUCGGGCACUAGCACAGAGCCAAGGAACCAGACCCUGGAGAGCAAAGAUCACAGAUGCAUGUGCACACCCACACAACCACACACACACACCCCAAUCUCAAAUGUUCUGUAGAAACAUUUCUUCUCUGACACAAACAUUUGAAUCUUUUUACCAUCUUGCUAAAACAGACAUUGCUGAAGGCAGGAGAAAAUAUGGCACAUGGGGAGAUUUUGAUAUGGUUUUGAAUUAUUCAGCUACAAAUAUACCAAAUUUAUUUUGGACAAGAUUGACAGAAGAGAAAGGGAAUAAGAAUACACAACUGGACAUUUGGUUUGUGAAGCUUUUUGUUUUUGUUUUUUUCUAACACGUUUCUCUUUCUUAUUCCUCUACAAACCCUUUUUUCCCCUGCUCCCUACUGUUCUUCUCCAAGACCUAUUUUGGUUACUUCUGACCUUGACCUUCCAUGUUUUAUUAAGAAAAUAUGGUCUCUAGAGAUGGAGAAAAAGAUAAAGAGAGAGAAGGAAGGAAGGAAGGGAGGAAGAAAAUAACUAGAAAAAUAAGGAAAUGGAUCAAUGAUAAUUUCUGGUGAAAGAGAUUUCCAGAUGAACUUUAGAGGUGAGAAUUAUAUGUAGCAUCAACUUAUUUCCAGCAAUAUUCUUAAAUUGUGAAACUUUAAAAAUUAAUAGUAGUCCUUGUCAUCUCCUUCCUGAUUUCAUGGAGUCAUACAUUUGGAUGAGACCGAGACUAUAUUCUUGGUGGAACAUACCAAAUAAAACCAAUUCAUUUAUGCACAUUUUCCCUUCUGCUUCGUAGACAGCAAGGACCCAUUAUUCUAGCACUUUCUUUCUUUUUUUUUUUUUGGAGGGGGAGGGUCCAAGUUUUAUUCAAGAACUCAUAUAAAGUAUUUGAGAUAAAUGAGUUUUAAUCUUCACUUUCCUCCUCUUCCUCGUCCUGGUUAAUCUGGAAGUAAUGCAACUUGUAACUCUUUGCUGUUAGCAACUACGUGCAACCAGUCACGGAAGUUAUUCUUUUUCAAAUAUUUUUUUGGUGACAUAUUUCAAAUACAUUUUGGAAAAAGGCACCUCAGAAGUUACAGUAAUUUUACUCUUGCUUCUUUUGAUGGUUACAACCCCUCCACCAAGAUUCCCAGCUUUUCCAUUCACUUUGAUUCUCUCUUGAAGAAACUGCUCAAAAUUGGCAGCAUCCAUGAUUCCAUCUUCCAUGGGGUGGGUGCAAUCAAGGGUAAACUUCAGAACUUGCUUCUUUUUUUUGCCCCUCUUUGCCACAAGCUUUUUCACGGGCCAUGGCGGCAGCGGACUAGCACUUUCUUUUUUGAACCACAACAAAUUGUGCUUUUUUGAGGAGGGUGCUGGCACUGGUUACAACCAUUACAGAGAGAAAAGAGGUUAAGAGGAGUAAGAAUGUGAGUGUAAAUGCAUAGGCAAAACAUAAAAGACUUUCCCAUUUGCCUUGACUUGCUCCAUCAGUUCCCAUUGUUUUAGGGCAGCCCUCAAUUCCAGCACAGUAUCUCUUAGUCCUGUGUAUAAAUUUGCUCUGUAAAUUAAAAUGUUGGCUUGUGCUCCCCUGGUGUUUAAGAAGGUGAGUGAUGUCCUUGGUGGGAGUAUGUUUGUGUAGAAAUGUGUCAUAAAAGAUGAUGUCUUCGCCCAAGAAAUGCAGGGUCCAAGUUUAGUCAUUUAUAAGAAAAAAAAAAAAAUACCAGAGUUAAACAUAACUAACACAUCAUGAGAAUAAGGCUCUUGCCAAAUGUGACUUUUUUUCUUUUUUUUUUUGAAGCUGAAAUGUCAGCUUUUACCCUGUGUUUUUAGAGGAAUAUUUU